AAUGGAUAAGAAGCAAAGAAAAGAAAAGUGGGGAAAGAAGAAAAACGUGGAAGAGAAAAUAAGAGAAAAGGAGAGAAAAGAAGAAGAGAAAGAGGAAGAGGAAAGCUCGGAGAAAGAAGAAGAAACUCAUGAAAGAUCAUCAUCAUCUCCAAUAUUUCAUCUUCAUCUCAUCAAGGUAUUAUUUUGCAGGUUAAAGGUAAGAGGAGUUGCUUGUGGGUGUUCUAAAGUUUUAUUUAAUUGUGAUCUUUCGUUGUGGAUUGUAUGAAAUGAAGAUAUUGCACACAACUCUUAGCUUUUAUUUAGGCAAUAUUCUAUAACAUGUGCCAUAUAUGUUUCUUUUUAGUUUGGACAUGUGUAUAUAAUGAUUCCGUUAAACACUUGUGUUGUAUCAAUACCAAAAAUUAACACGUGUAUGAUAUUAUUCUAGAUAUAUAUUAUACGGUUUGUUAAACAAAGUGGCACUAUAACUCACUAAGCCUGGUUUGGAAGAAUCUCAGGAACAAAUCCAAAAGAUUAGGAUCACUUUAUCUUCAAAACAUAUUCGAUAGGAAAAAGGUGUGAGAUAAAUACACAUGCUAGACAUAAGUGACUGAAGCAUAGUUCGAGACUAAGAUUACAAGAUUUGACUAAAAAUUCUCAACGGAGGAAGUUGAAGGACUUGGGAGUGUUUCUCGACAGAAGUGGCAGUUUUGUAGCAGUUCAAAAACUGAAGGUGCACGGAAGCAAUGCAUAGGACGGAAGGCCACGUAGCAUUGCAUGAGUCGAGCGUUGAAGAUUCGACCAUUGUCGACAGUUACUAAUAUAUAUGUAUAUAAGUCGAUUUAGUCUUUGUAACAAGGAUUCACAAUUUUCAUCAUUAGUCUCUAUAGAGUUCAAACAUCAAAGUUACAGAGAUACUAAAUUUAUGAGAAAAAUGUAUGAAUCUACGUUCCAACUCUUAACUUAAGCAUUUUACUCGA